GACGAACCGUGCGAACGUUAUUCGGAAUCACUGGGCUUAAAGCGCGUGUAGGCGGGAGGGCACGUCCGUCGCUGAAAUCCCCCGGCUCAACCGGGGAACGGGCGCGGAUACGACCUUCCUUGAGGGGCGUGAGGGGGACCUGGAACUUCCGGUGGAGCGGUGAAAUGCGUUGAGAUCGGAAGGAACGCCCGUGCGAAAGCGAGGUCCUGGACGCCUACUGACGCUGAGACGCGAAAGCCAGGGGA
rnacentral:rRNA from 1 species